rnacentral:rRNA from 1 species
AGCCUCUAGCGAGCUGACAUGGUACCCGUACCCCAAACCAACACAGGUGGGCAGGUAGAGAAUACCAAGGCGAUCGGGAGAACUGUGGUUAAGGAACUCGGCAAAAUGCCUCCGUAACUUCGGGAGAAGGAGGACCCCAUUAGGGUGAAGGACUUCGCGUCCGGAGCUCGAAGGGGUGGCACAGACCAGGGGAAAGCGACUGUUUACUAAAAACACAGCAGCGUGCCAAGUCGCAAGACGAUGUAUACGCUGUGACGCCUGCCCAAUGCCGGAAGGUUAAAGGGAAAGGCUAGUCCGCAAGGGCGAAGCUUUGAACUGAAGCCCCGGUGAAUGGCGGCCGUAACUAUAACGGUCCUAAGGUAGCGAAAUUCCUUGUCGGGUAAGUUCCGACCUGCACGAAUGGCGUAACGACUUUCCUACUGUCUCAACCACAGACCCGGCGAAAUUGAAGUACGAGUAAAGAUGCUCGUUAGCUACAGAAGGACGGAAAGACCCCGUGGACCUUUACUAUAGCCUGAUGUUGAGUUUUGUUAUGUGUUGUGUAGGAUAGGUGGGAGACUUGGAAGCAUUGGCGCCAGCCAGUGUGGAGUCAACCUUGAAAUACCACCCUGCUCAUGACGGAGCUCUAACCCACGUCCCUUAUCGGGAUGGGGAACAGCGUCAGGUGGGUAGUUUGACUGGGGCGGUCGCCUCCUAAAGAGUAACGGAGGCGCCCAAAGGUUCCCUCAGGCUGGUUGGCAAUCAGCCGUCGAGUGCAAUGGCACAAGGGAGCUUGACUGCGAGACCUACAAGUCAAGCAGGUGCGAAAGCAGGGCAUAGUGAUCCGGCGGUUGCGUGUGGAAGCGCCGUCGCUCAACGGAUAGAAGGUACCCCGGGGAUAACAGGCUCAUCUUCCCCAAGAGUCCAUAUCGACGGGAAGGUUUGGCACCUCGAUGUCGGCUCAUCGCAUCCUGGGGCUGAAGCAGGUCCCAAGGGUUGGGCUGUUCGCCCAUUAAAGCGGUACGCGAGCUGGGUUUAGAACGUCGUGAGACAGUUCGGUCCCUAUCCUCUGUAGCCGGAAGGAACUUGAGAAAGGCUGUCCCUAGUACGAGAGGACCGGGAUGGACGCAGCUCUGGUGUGCCAGUUGUCCCGCCAAGGGCAUCGCUGGUUAGCUACCUGCGGAAGGGAUAAGCGCUGAAAGCAUCUAAGUGCGAAGCCUGUUUCUAGAUGAGGUUCCUCACUGGGUUAACUAGGUAAGGCCCGUGGAAGACCACCACGUUGAUAGGCCGGAGGUGUAAGCGUGGUAACACGUUCAGCCGACCGGUACUAAUCGGCC